rnacentral:rRNA from 1 species
GAUGAAUGCUGGCGGCGUGCCUAACACAUGCAAGUCGAGCGGCAGCGCGAGUAGUUUACUACUUGGCGGCGAGCGGCGGACGGCUGAGUAACGCGUGGGAACGUGCCCCAAAGCGAGGGAUAACGCACCGAAAGGUGUGCUAAUACCGCAUAUGAUCUUCGGAUUAAAGAAUUUAUUCGCUUUGGGAGCGGCCCGCGUCGGAUUAGGUAGUUGGUAGGGUAAUGGCCUACCAAGCCGACGAUCCGUAGCUGGUCUGAGAGGAUGACCAGCCAGACUGGAACUGAGACACGGCCCAGACCCCUACGGGAGGCAGCAGUGAGGAAUCUUCCACAAUGGGCGAAGGCCUGAUGGAGCAACGCCGCGGGAAGGAUGAAGGCCUUCGGGUAGUAAACUGCUUUUAUAAGUGAAGAAUAUGACGGUAACUUAUGAAUAAGCACCGGCUAACUACGUGCCAGCCGCCGCCGUAA